CCUACGGGGGGCAGCAGUGGGGGAUAUUGGACAAUGGGGGAAACCCUGAUCCAGCGAUGCCGCGUGAGGGAAGAAGGUUUUCGGAUUGUAAACCUCUGUGGAGGGGGACGAUAAUGACGGUACCCCUUUAGGAAGCCCCGGCUAACUACGUGCCAGCAGCCGCGGUAAUACGUAGGGGGCAAGCGUUAUCCGGAUUUACUGGGUGUAAAGGGAGCGUAGACGGCGAUGCAAGUCUGAAGUGAAAGCCCGGGGCUCAACCCCGGGACUGCUUUGGAAACUGUAUGGCUGGAGUGCUGGAGAGGCAA
rnacentral:rRNA from 1 species